rnacentral:rRNA from 1 species
CAGUCGCCGCGGUAAUACGGAGGGCGCGAGCGUUACCCGGAUUUACUGGGCGUAAAGGGCGUGUAGGCGGCCUGGGGCGUCCCAUGUGAAAGGCCACGGCUCAACCGUGGAGGAGCGUGGGAUACGCUCAGGCUAGAGGGUGGGAGAGGGUGGUGGAAUCCCCGGAGUAGCGGUGAAAUGCGCAGAUACCGGGAGGAACGCCGAUGGCGAAGGCAGCCACCUGGUCCACUUCUGACGCUGAGGCGCGAAAGCGUGGGGAGCAAACCGGAUUAGAUACCCGUGUAGUCCCUGUCUCUUAUAC